rnacentral:rRNA from 1 species
UACAGAGGGUGCAAGCGUUGCUCGGAAUCAUUGGGCGUAAAGGCGCGUGAGAGCGGCCAGGUAGGUCUGGUGUGAAAACUCGAGGCUUAACCUCGAGAUGUCAUCGGAAACCAUCUGGCUAGAGUCCGGAAGAGGAGAGUGGAAUUCCUGGUGUAGCGGUGAAAUGCGCAGAUAUCAGGAAGAACACCAAUGGCGAAAGCAGCUCUCUGGGACGGUACUGACGCUGAGACGCGAAAGCGUGGGGAGCGAACAGG